rnacentral:tRNA from 1 species
CAAAAUGUAGCUUAACACAAAGCACCUCGCUUACACCGAGAUAAUGUCCAUGAGACCUGGAUCAUUUUGA